AACUUUUGACAAUGGAUCUCUUGGUUCUGGCAUCGAUGAAGAACGCAGCGAAAUGCGAUAAGUAAUGUGAAUUGCAGAAUUUAGUGAAUCAUCGAAUCUUUGAACGCACAUUGCGCCCUUUGGUAUUCCGAAGGGCAUGCCUGUUCGAGCGUCAUUAUAACCACUCACGCCUUUACUUGGUCGUGGGGGUCGCGGUCUCGCGGCCCCUAUAAUCAGUGGCGGUGCCGGUCGGCUAUACGCCUAGUAAUACUCCUCGCUACAGGGUCGGGAUGGUGUCUUGCCAGCAACACCCAUAUUAUUGUCAAGUUGACCUCAGAUCAGGUAGGGAUACCCGCUGAAUUUAAGCAUAUCAAUAAGCGGAGGAU
rnacentral:misc_RNA from 1 species